rnacentral:rRNA from 1 species
UACGAAGGGGGCUAGCGUUGCUCGGAAUCACUGGGCGUAAAGCGCACGUAGGCGGAUUGUUAAGUCAGGGGUGAAAUCCUGGAGCUCAACUCCAGAACUGCCUUUGAUACUGGCGAUCUCGAGUCCGGGAGAGGUGAGUGGAACUGCGAGUGUAGAGGUGAAAUUCGUAGAUAUUCGCAAGAACACCAGUGGCGAAGGCGGUUCUCUGGGACGGUACUGACGCUGAGACGCGAAAGCGUGGGGAGCGAACAGG